rnacentral:rRNA from 1 species
AGUAAGGAUGACGUUGAACGCAGGAAGGACGGAGAAGGGUCGCUGAGCCGCAGCAUGGUUUGCUCGGUUCAAACCGGUAGACCGUCUCUUUAGGACCCCAACGUGGGACAAACGAAGAGACAUUAGGCUGAGAGGUCAUGAGGAGAGCUCUACGAGCUCACGAACUCAGUUAUCCCAGACUUCCAAGAAAAGUUCCGGCGUGAGUCACUUUACUGACCGUACCGCAAACCGACACAGGUGGGCAAGGAGAAUAUCCUAAGGCGUUUGGGAGAAGCCACUCUAAGGAACUCUGCAUAAUGACACCGUAACUUCGGGAUAAGGUGUGCCGACGGUAGGUGAUGUGCCUGCGCACAAAGCCCAAGUCGGUUGCAGUGAAACGGUGGUAGCGACUGUUUACCAAAAACACAGCACUCUGCAAACUCGUAAGAGGAUGUAUAGGGUGUGAUGCCUGCCCGGUGCCGGAAGGUUAAGAGGAGGAGUCAGCCGCAAGGCAAAGCCCCGAAUCGAAGCCCCGGUAAACGGCGGCCGUAACAAUAACGGUCCUAAGGUAGCGAAAUUCCUUGUCGGGUAAGUUCCGACCUGCACGAAUGGCAUAACGACUUCCCCACUGUCUCGGAGAGGCCCUCAGCGAAGUAGCACUAGGGGUGAAGAUACCCUUUACCCGCGGCAGGACGGAAAGACCCCGUGAACCUUUACUGUAACUUGGCACUGAUUUUCGGGUUAGCUUGCGUAGGAUAGGUGGGAGGCUAUGAGGCCGGGAUUCCGGUCUCGGCAGAGCCAACCUUGAAAUACCACCCUGGCUAACCUAAAAAUCUAACUCGCUUCCGUAAUCCGGAAGGAGGACAAUGCCUGGUGGGCAGUUCGACUGGGGCGGUCGCCUCCCAAAAAGUAACGGAGGCGCGCGAAGGUUCCCUCAGCCUGAUUGGAAACCAGGCGCAGAGUGUAAUGGCAUAAGGGAGCUUGACUGCGAGACAAACAAGUCGAGCAGGUGCGAAAGCAGGUCAUAGUGAUCCGGUGGUCCUGUAUGGAAAGGCCAUCGCUCAACGGAUAAAAGGUACUCCGGGGAUAACAGGCUUAUCACGCCCAAGAGUUCACAUCGACGGCGUGGUUUGGCACCUCGAUGUCGGCUCAUCGCAUCCUGGGGCUGAAGUAGGUCCCAAGGGUUCGGCUGUUCGCCGAUUAAAGCGGUACGCGAGCUGGGUUCAAAACGUCGUGAGACAGUUUGGUCCCUAUCCGCCGUGGGCGCAGGAGACUUGAGAGGAGCUAACCUUAGUACGAGAGGACCGGGUUGGACUGACCUCUAGUGUUCCGGUUGUGGCACCAGCCGCAUCGCCGGGUAGCUACGUCGGGAAUGGAUAACCGCUGAAAGCAUCUAAGCGGGAAGCCAACCUCAAGAUUAGGUCUCCCAGGUCGUAAGACCCUAAAGGCCCC